CUGCAUGACUCUUUUUCUAAAUUUUAAUGGUGCCAUUUUAUUUUUGACAAAAAUAAAAUUUCAUUUAAACAACUAAAAUGGUGAAUAAUACAGUGCUACAGUGGCGUAAGUGGAAGGUAGGAAACAAUCAAAAUGAACAGUCUAACGUCACAGCAGGCAUAUAAGGCCAAAGUUUGUUACAUCCCAAUACAACAAGAUUGAAACUUUGCACCUUCUUAAAUGAAACAAACUUACUUCAAUAUUAGCAAUAAGUGAGAAAAGCCCUUUUUCAAAAGCAACUUGAGGGUACUGAGUGUUACAACAGAUUCAAUGAACCAUAAGUACUUGUUUGCAUUGUAGUAUCUCAAAGGCACCAAUUUUUUCUAAUCCGUUAAGGAAAACAAGAAAAAUGAAAGGAAAAGAAAAAGGUUACUUGUGCAGCACAACCUUGACGCCUAGCUACAUGGUAAAGAGAUUCUCUUUGUGCAUUUGAACCAAUCAACAAUAAUGGUGCCUUGACUUCUUGAUUAGAGAAUUGAAAUCAUUAAUGAUGUUUGCUUCAUAAAAUGGAGGCAGGGAUCCGAAUCAAAAGUAUGGAGAUCACCCAAAUUUAGGAAUGAGGAAUGAAAGAUUGAUUCCCAAGGAAGGUGGUGGGAAUCAAUCCCCCAUUUUCAAGAUUGACCACUUUGCCCCUCUCACAAACUAUAAAAUGUCUAUUUUCUCCUCA
rnacentral:lncRNA from 1 species